AUCCCAUGAUGAGGAUAGGUGACAACAUAUUCCUGCAGCCUUUCCCAAGCUUCAGGAGCUGUUUCGUCCCUCGUCUGUUGAAAGCUGGAUAUUCUUCCACGAAGAGC
rfam:Oryza sativa (indica cultivar-group) chromosome 4, whole genome shotgun sequence.